UGAGGACUUGCAGGGGAAUUGCCUCCCCAGGAGAGAUUGAGGCUUGGGUAGCCUAGGGUGUUUUUCCUCUCGUGGUGAAUUGGGCUCAGUGUUCCCUACUAGGCUGCUUUUCCUUCAUGUUUUCUGCCCUCUCUGUGAAAUAGUUUUAGAGACUCGAUGAGCUAGUUACAUUGGUGAUGCCUUCUUCAGAAAAACCCUGGUGGCACUAUUUCACUGCGAAGCAUUUUGGAAGUGACUUGAGUUCAGAAGACAGCAGGUACCAGCAUUCAAGAAUUCAACUACAGACCUCAUAUAAUUUAAUUGUUAACACAAGAAGAUAUCAAAAGUUAGAGAAACUAAAGCAUUUCUCAAGAACAGUGUGAUGCAGGUCAAAAAAAUGAACGUUAAGUCAGAACAGAUUGCUAAAGAAGUUAACUUCUUAAGACUAAAGAAUACAAGCUUCCUAAGUUUUAUGAAUUAGAACAUCUGCUUUUGAAGAAUGUAAAAUAAAUCAUUAUAAAAUGCUUAUUUUGUUCAAAAUUGAAGAAAUUAUGAUUGUCUCAACAAUGCUGACGCUAAAGGACACUAUUGUGCGUUCCCCCACCACCCUCUUGGGUAUUAAGCAAAUGUCAAAGUUGGAGGUAACCAAGCAAAGACUAAAUCAUCUUCAGUCUGCCUUAGGACAGUGCCUAUUCAACUGAUUCCACCAAGUUCAUCAGUAGCCUCAAUAUUCUUCAAUCCAGAAUAAGAAUACAUUGGAAGCUAUAUCGCUACUGCCAGAGAGAAUAGGAGGAUAAGACAUUUAUUUUCACUGAUUCUCUGACUACAAUGAAUGUUUCAGUUUUCAGAAAUGCCAAGAUUUAGACUUCUAAAGACAGUAUCUUUCCUUUCUUUCCCCCCUUGACCUUAGAGGAUUCUAAAAUAAACCACAGUCCUAAGAAUAAUGCAGAAGUAUGGCUAGUCUACACAGUGGAUUUAAGUAGUUAAAUGCCUCAAGACACCGCAAGCUUUUUUUUUUUUUUGCUCACAAGGCACUGCUCGUUAAUAUUUUUUUUAUUUGUUUUGAUACUUAUAAGAUUUAUUUUUUUCUAGAAAGUUAAAAUCACAAGCAAGAAAUUUCUGGUAACUUCAAAUAGAGACUCAAGUUCUUCUAGGUAGAAAAAAAAAUUAAUUUUGUAUUAGGCACCAAACAAAAUGAGCCUCUUAGUAGUUGUUUUUUUUUUUACUUCAUUAAACUAACAUGCCAAAGAGCAGAUGAACUUAUACACAAGAAAUAACAAGCAAAACGUGCUAUAUGAAGGACAAAGAUAUUACCAAGUUUAUGUAUACUUUAGGAUGUCCCAAAGCUCCACCACCACCAUCGCAUGAUAUCACUCUGCUUUCAACUUCACUCACAGGCUGCUCUGCAAUCAAAUCAAUUGCAAAAUUCUUGUUCACCUGAAAGAAAAAAAAAAAAAAGAAAGCUUUCAGUUAUCUUGCACACUCAAACAGAAAACAAUUGCUUCCCCAAAUAGUUACACUACAACCAACUUAAGAAGUUCCUACACAGUUUUUUUUCUGACCUUCUCCACAGCUGUAACAACUUCAGCUGCACUGUAUUUGUUCACCAGACCAAUGAACUGAAGGUGUUAAACCCCACAAAAAUAAUGCCCAUACCCUGACCCAGACCACAUCAAUGCUCAGGUUACAUGACCUAAGCAGAUUCAGCAAAGAGGUGAGCAGGAACAAGCAGCUGAGAACAGAAAAUUUUUAACUGACACUGCCUCUGUAUUGCUUUUGCCACUACAUGAUAAAAUUGCAAAAAACUGUGCUGAUAAACUCAAAAUAAUGGUGGGACAAGUAAGGUCAUGAGAGAGAUAAAACAACUGCCAGUAAUUUAGAGCCUCCCACCAUGCAUGUUACUCCAUCACUGCACAUAAAUCUCAGGAAGACAUUAACUUGGUACACAACAGUUAUAAAGGCAAAUUGUUCAGAAUUAAAAAGAAGAAAAGCCUCUAAGCACUGUUAUGCCACUCUGUAAAUCCAUCUUAUGCACAAUUCCUGAAUAUGUGUAUCACUACUGACUGUCAGACUUUUUACUCGAGCAUGUCUGUGAGACCUGCCGAACACACCCCU